UGGAGGGUAUAGGACUCUUUUAUUACUAGUUUUCAGAGUGGAAAUAUGUAGGAGAAAAUUCCCUGAGGUCUAUCAUCUAGUUUUCAAAGGGGCCAGAGACUGUAAUAGAUGACAUAGGCCUGCUAGCAGAAAACAAUAGACCCUAGAUAUGAUCACUGGGAGGGUAAAUACAAAUAUAGCAGACGUGAUACACAUUACAAAGGAAUAACAUGUAGGCCUAUCUGAAACACUACAGACAAAAGUACUACAAACUACAGUACUGCAAACAACAAACAUAAUCAAAUGUUGCCAUAAAAAGACUUAGUGUAGUACUUCAUUCUCAAGUACUGAUGAGAAUGAACCUUUGGGGAUGCAUUGAAACACGAUCUUGAUGACAAUCCAAUGUCCCAGUUUUAUCUGACAGUCUUUCAGCGUCAGUGGCAAUUGAGGAAUAGUGUCAGUAGAACAAUGGUCAAUUGGUCGAUUCAGGGUCCUCUGACUAUGAUGGAGGUUAUCCACAGCUUUUUCAAGCCAUUCUUGUAUUGCCUUUACAGCGCUGACACAGCAGAGGAAUCUUUCCAUAAACAGAUGUGUGUGUGUGUGUGUGUGUGUGUGUGUGUGUGUGUGUGUGUGUGUGUGUGUGUGUGUGUGUGUGUGUGAGAGAGAGAGAGACAGAGAGACAGAGAGAGAGACAGAGAGAGAGAGAGACAGAGAGAGAGAGAGAAGGAGAGAGAGAGAGAGACAGAGAGAGAGAGAGAGAGAGAGAGAAAGAAAGAAAAAGAGAGAGAGUUUGUCUACUGUUGGACUGAAGGGAGGGAAUCUACACACUUCAUAAAUAUUUAUCUCACACAUCAGUCUCUCAUUUAUUGGCAAUAAACAUCUCCUGCCUCUGACGUCUGCAGCUCAUACAGGCUACAGAGGGCAGGAAGGAACAUCCAGUGAUAGGAGUAACUGUAGAUGUAUUCUAACCAUGUCUGUUACAUUGGUUUGGAAGAGCGAAUAUGACAAUGAGAAUGUAGUACUUAAUGUAAUUGGUUGACGCCAACUUUUUGCAUUUGUAAUAUUCAGUCAAUUGUAGUUCUCAGUUUUCAGCCAUGGUUUACGUGACCCUGUGUUGCUAGUUGCUGCAGGUGAAGAGGAGAGGUGAUGUCCUCAGGACCUUGCAUAGCGAACAGACACACGCCUCUCUGCCUUUUUCUGUCUGGAACAUUGGCUCAUUAGGGAAGCUGAUUAAAUUGAUGGGACGAGGGUCGGGCCAACCACUGGAGGGAGAAAUGCUGUGCUGGGAUGAACAUGGAGAGAGGGAAGAGGAGAUGAAGGAAGACAAACACAGAAAGAGGUGGAGGGAUGGACAGGGAAGUAUAGGGCUGUUUGCAGAAGGGAAAGAGGCAUGGACAGAAAGAGUGUGGGGAGUUGAGGGAGAGAGGGAUAGGCAGAGUGAGAGAGAAAGAUAGGAAUGUAGUGUUAGUGAUUGUAGUUGGCGGCUCUGAGGGCUCUUCGCCACAUGAGUCUGUGCACGGAGACCAGACGUUCCUUUCUAAUGGAACCCUACAGAGCACAGGCGAAAAGCCACUCAAAUCCUCUAUCUAAUGAAAUGACAUAAUGUGUCUGUGUGCCUGAAAAAGAGGGGAUGUCAAGAGAAGUUAGGAGGGAUGUUACUUUUUCUCUUUUAAACUUCAAACAUAUUUUUAAUUGAGGACUAAUUAGGUUCCAGGAAACCGGCCCUCAAGAUUAAAGGAGAAAGUGGAAGUUUCAGAGAGACAAUAAUGAGGGUAUGUUGUACUUUCUAUGUGUGCUGUCUGCCUAACACCCAAGGCAUUUCAUUAUCACCCUCAUUCAUCUAAUCAUCGGAU
rnacentral:lncRNA from 1 species